rnacentral:rRNA from 1 species
AUGGCCACCUGCCUCUCUGAUAUGAUCAGUGACCAUUCUGUAGAUUUCCUGGGGUUGCAAGAGACCAUGAAAAAGAAAUUUACUCCUGGUUGCCUCAGGAAAAUUGAUCCUUUUAGCGUUUUUAGUUGGAACUGGAUUCCCUCUGUUGGGAAGUCCGGGGGUAUCCUGUGUGGUGUUAAAAAUGAUAACCUGGAUAUUAUCUCCUGUCAGAAGGGCAAGUAUAUCUUACAACUAGUGUUGUAUGAUAAGAAGAAAAAGACCAACUGGGGUUUAUUGAUAGUCUAUGGUUCUGCUCAUGAGGAAUUUAAGGAAGAAUUUCUUAGUGAGCUUGCCUUAAUGUGUGGCUGUAUGCAAGUCCCGUACAUUGUUGGUGGGGACUUUAAUAUCCUUAGUCACUCUAGAGAGAAAAAUAAAAAGAUAUCAAAUCACAAAUCUUCUGAUCUUUUCAACUCCAUUAUAAAUAUCCUAGCUCUUAGAGAGAUACACAUUAGUGGUGGCAAGUAUACCUGGACUAAUAAUCAAGCCCACCCCACUUUGGAGAAGCUUGACCGCAUCUUGAUGUCUGAAACUUGGGAGGAUUUGUUUCCUUUGGUCUAUGUCAGGAAACUGGUUUGGGUAAUUUCAUACCACAACCCCCUGUUGUUAUCCACGGGUGAAGAGGGGCGUGAGGCUCCGAAACCUAGAGAAUUUCGGUUCGAUUUGGCGUGGGUUAAAGAUGAUAGAUUCCUCCCGGUGGUUCAGAAAAUUUGGGCGCAUAAGGUUUUCUCUUCUGACCCCAUCGAUGUCUUAAACAUCAAACUCAAGAGAUUCAAGUCUUAUUUUAAAGGGUGGGGUUCGGAUAAAUUUGGUCAUGAUAAGAAAAGAAAGGAUGACCUCCGGAUGGAGCUGGAACUGUUGGAAGAAUUAGAAGAAGAGGCCCCUCUCUCUCCUGUGCUGUAUAGUAGGAAGAUCGAUGCCUGUUUUGAACUUCAUGAGUUGCUUGUUAAUGAGGAAAUUUUUUGGUUGCAACAAUCGCGCGAGCGAUGGUUGCUUAAAGGGGAUUUAAAUACCAAUUACUUCCAUCGUAUAGCUAAUGGGCGUAAAAGGAAAAACAUGAUCCACUCCCUUAUGGUGGGUGAUACGGAGAUAGAAGGUACUGAUAAGCUGAUCGCUCAUGCCACAGAGUUCUAUAAAGAACUAUUCGGGCCAGCUUCUGGAAACUAG